CAAAGAGUAGCUUAAAACAAAGCACUCAACUUACAAUUGAGAAACGUUAUUUACCUAACCUCUUUGC
rnacentral:tRNA from 1 species